rnacentral:rRNA from 1 species
AGAGUUUGAUCCUGGCUCAGAACGUACGCUGGCGGCACGCCUAAUACAUGCAAGUCGAACGAAGUAGCAAUACUUAGUGGCAGACGGGUGAGUAACAUGUGGGUAUCUUCCCUUUGGUGAGGAAUAACACGAGGAAACUUGUGCUAAUACCUCAUAAGUCUUUACGGAGAAAGCUUUAUGCGCCAAUGGAUGAGCCUGCACUUGAUUAGUUUGUUGGUGGGGUAAUGGCCUACCAAGACUGUGAUCAAUAGCUGAUUUGAGAGGAUGAUCAGCCACAUUGGGACUGAGACACGGCCCAAACUCCUACGGGAGGCAGCAGUAGGGAAUCUUGCACAAUGGAGGAAACUCUGAUGCAGCGAUGCCGCGUGAGUGAAGAAGGCCCUUGGGUUGUAAAGCUCUUUCGUCGGGGAAGAAAAUGACUGUACCCGAAUAAGAAGGUCCGGCUAACUUCGUGCCAGCAGCCGCGGUAAUACGAAGGGACCUAGCGUAGUUCGGAAUUACUGGGCUUAAAGAGUUCGUAGGUGGUUAAAAAAGUUGGUGGUGAAAUCCCAGAGCUUAACUCUGGAACUGCCAUCAAAACUUUUUAGCUAGAGUAUGAUAGAGGAAAGCAGAAUUUCUAGUGUAGAGGUGAAAUUCGUAGAUAUUAGAAAGAAUACCAAUUGCGAAGGCAGCUUUCUGGAUCAUUACUGACACUGAGGAACGAAAGCAUGGGUAGCGAAGAGGAUUAGAUACCCUCGUAGUCCAUGCCGUAAACGAUGUGUGUUAGAUGUUGGAAAUUUAUUUUCAGUAUCGCAGCGAAAGCAAUAAACACACCGCCUGGGGAGUACGACCGCAAGGUUAAAACUCAAAUGAAUUGACGGGGACCCGCACAAGUAGUGGAGCAUGUGGUUUAAUUCGAAGAUACGCGCAGAACCUUACCAACACUUGACAUGUUCGUCGCGACUCUAAGAGAUUAGAGUUUUCGGUUCGGCCGGACGAAACACAGGUGCUGCAUGGCUGUCGUCAGCUCGUGUCGUGAGAUGUUGGGUUAAGUCCCGCAACGAGCGCAACCCUUACUUUUAGUUGCUACCAUUCAGUUGGGCACUCUGAAAGAACUGCCAGUGAUAAGCUGGAGGAAGGUGGGGAUGACGUCAAGUCCUCAUGGCCCUUACGUGUUGGGCUACACACGUGCUACAAUGGCAUUUACAAUAGGAAGCAAGACGGCGACGUCAAGCAAAUCCUAAAAAAAUGCCUCAGUUCGGAUUGUACUCUGCAACUCGAGUACAUGAAGCUGGAAUUACUAGUAAUCGCGGAUCAGCGCGCCGCGGUGAAUACGUUCCCGGGUCUUGUACACACCGCCCGUCACACCAUGGGAGUUGGUUCUACCUUAAGGCAAAGUUUAAAACCUUUGACCACGGUAUAGUCAGCGACUGGGGUGAAGUCGUAACAAGGUAACC